rnacentral:rRNA from 1 species
UACGGAGGGUGCAAGCGUUAUCCGGAUUCACUGGGUUUAAAGGGUGCGUAGGUGGGCAGGUAAGUCAGUGGUGAAAUCUUUGGGCUUAACCCGAAAACUGCCAUUGAUACUAUUUGUCUUGAAUAUUGUGGAGGUCAGCGGAAUAUGUCAUGUAGCGGUGAAAUGCUUAGAUAUGACAUAGAACACCAAUUGCGAAGGCAGCUGGCUACGCAUAUAUUGACACUGAUGCACGAAAGCGUGGGGAU